CAGCUUCAGGGAGUAUGUCAGGUACUCAUCUGGUGUGAGGGGUUGUCCAUCUGCUUCCAAGUCCAGGGAGAAAUCUCUCAGUGUCCACACAAAGUCUGGGAAGAAGCUCACAAAGUCAGCUGAAUCCUCAACCUCAUUCUCAUUCUCAUCAGGAAGCAUACAUCACAAUGAAACAUCUAUUCAAGGAGAGCUCCUAUAACUCCGGCUCAUAACAUAUAGAAACGUGAUAUACUUAAGAACAGGACAAGAGAGGACAGUAGGAGCGAAGCUGCAUUGGAAUAAAGAAAUGACAGCAGAUGUUAACUUGAACCCCCAGGAAUACAUUAAGAGAACCUGAAACUGUAA
rnacentral:lncRNA from 1 species